rnacentral:rRNA from 1 species
AUUGAACGCUGGCGGCAUGCCUUACACAUGCAAGUCGAACGGUAGGGGGGCAACCCCUGAGAGUGGCGAACGGGUGAGUAAUGCAUCGGAACGUGCCCAGUUGUGGGGGAUAACGUAGCGAAAGCUACGCUAAUACCGCAUACGACCUGAGGGUGCAAGGGGGGGAUCGCAAGACCUCUCGCAAUUGGAGCGGCCGAUGUCAGAUUAGCUAGUUGGUGGGGUAAAAGCCUACCAAGGCGACGAUCUGUAGCUGGUCUGAGAGGACGACCAGCCACACUGGGACUGAGACACGGCCCAGACUCCUACGGGAGGCAGCAGUGGGGAAUUUUGGACAAUGGACGCAAGUCUGAUCCAGCCAUGCCGCGUGCAGGAAGAAGGCCUUCGGGUUGUAAACUGCUUUUGUCAGGGAAGAAAUCCCUUGGGAUAAUACCUCGGGGGGAUGACGGUACCUGAAGAAUAAGCACCGGCUAACUACGUGCCAGCCGCCGCGGUAAUAC